UACGAAGGGGGCUAGCGUUGCUCGGAAUUACUGGGCGUAAAGCGCACGUAGGCGGAUUGUUAAGUCGGGGGUGAAAUCCUGGAGCUCAACUCCAGAACUGCCUUCGAUACUGGCGAUCUUGAGUCCGGAAGAGGUGAGUGGAACUCCUAGUGUAGAGGUGAAAUGCGUAGAUAUGCGGAGGAACACCGAUGGCGAAGGCAAUCCCCUGGACCUGUACUGACGCUCAUGCACGAAAGCGUGGGGAGCAAACAGG
rnacentral:rRNA from 1 species